rnacentral:lncRNA from 1 species
GGGGUUACUAUUCACGUAUACGGCACUAUUCACGUAUACGGCACUAUUCACAAAUACGGCACUAUUCAUCGAAAAAUGAAAAUUUUUCUUUUUGUCCAAGAUGUCUAUUUUGGCUACUAUCUUUGAUUGGAUCCAUGUUUUGAUCGUUAUUUGUGAGUUCUGCUUCAAAAUCGUUUAUUAUGAAGUAUUAUUGAUCUUGGAUAAACUGUUGUACGAAUCCCUAAUAUUUGUCUUUCUAUCUCACUGGAUUCGUUCUUAAAAAUGUUUUUCUUCAUCCUCGAUCCUUAAUGGUGAUACUUGAUGAAUAUCUUUGGCCUGUAGUGCAAAGAUGAUUAAAGAUGUAUAUUGAUUGUUGUUACAGGGAUAAAAUAUUGAUGAUGGACUUUUAAACCUUAGAAGACAGUAGAAUUCUUUAUCUACGUGGCUCUUCUAAU